rnacentral:rRNA from 1 species
GGUGAAGUUUUUGGAUCGCGGCGACGCCGGCGGUUCGCCGCCGGUGUUGUUGUGAGAAGUUCAUUAAACCUUAUCAUUUAGAGGAAGGAGAAGUCGUAACAAGGUUUCCGUAGGUGAACCUGCGGAAGGAUCAUUGAACACACGAUCUGCGAAAAACUAUGUGAAUCGUUUUGUACAAAGAGGGAUCGUGCCCGGAGGCACGAUCGUCGGUGCUCGAGUCCAGAUUCAUGUGCGUUAGCCUUGAUGGUCCCGUUUGGUGCGCGGCGGGAUCGAGUGACUCGGGUUCAACCGUCGGAUCGCCCCAUACGCGCAUGGCUUCGAGUCUUCCGGAUUCGGAGUCGGGAGUGCGUCCCCUCCUCCAGCGGAGGGGGAGUCCCGGGGUCUUGCCCGGUGACUCCCUCUCCGUUGGUGCCCUUUUUUCUCAAGCAACUCGGUAAAACUCGAAGGAUGAUUUCAUUGAUGGGAGCUCGGGAGUGCCUCGGUGCUCCCGAGAUCUCACGAUAGGGAAAACACAAAUGACUCUCAGCAACGGAUAUCUUGGCUCUUGCAACGAUGAAGAACGCAGCGAAAUGCGAUACCUAGUGUGAAUUGCAGAAUUCCGCGAAUCAUCGAGUUUUUGAACGCAAGUUGCGCCCGAGGCUCGUCUGAGGGCAUGCCUGCCUGAGCGUCCGCUCCGACCCACCCAACAGCCCUGUCCUACUCCGCAAGAGAAAGGCAGGGGCGAGUGCGAGUGGAACUGGUCGUCCGAGAACUCGCUCGUCUCCGCCGGGGACGAGUCGAGAUCGCCGGUCGGCUGAAAACGUGAGCCGUCCGUCAAAACGCACACUGGGACAACGGUGCGUCGCGAGAAGGUGCCGUCCCUCUCCGGUCGUUCUCGACGGGGGAGGGAUGCUUGUUUUAGAGCGACGUGCCUUCCCGGUGGGGUCGAGAUUUGGCGGUUCGGCGAGAGACUGAACAUGGGGAGCGUCCCUGGACACUCCCCCGCUGAACUCUCUCGGAAGAGAGGGGGAUGCGGGGGAUGUCCAGUCCGAACGCAACGUUGCUCGGACCUCAGAUCAGGCAAGACCACCCGCUGAGUUUAAGCAUAUCACUAAGCGGAGGAAAAGAAACUAACAAGGAUUUCCUUAGUAACGGCGAGCGAACCGGAAGUAGCCCA